CGGACGGGUGAGUAAUGCUUGGGAAUCUGGCUUAUGGAGGGGGAUAACUACGGGAAACUGUAGCUAAUACCGCGUAAUAUCUUCGGAUUAAAGGGUGGGACUUUCGGGCCACCUGCCAUAAGAUGAGCCCAAGUGGGAUUAGGUAGUUGGUUAGGUAAAGGCUGACCAAGCCGACGAUCUCUAGCUGGUCUGAGAGGAUGACCAGCCACACUGGAACUGAGACACGGUCCAG
rnacentral:rRNA from 1 species